GAUGAACGCUGGCGGCGUGCCUAAUACAUGCAAGUCGAGCGAACAGACGAGGAGCUUUCUCCUCUGACGUUAGCGGCGGACGGGCGAGUAACACGUGGAUCACCUACCUCUAAGACUUGGAUAACUUCGGGAAACCGGAGCUACUACCGGAUAAUAUAUUGAACAGCAUGGAUCAAUAGUGAAAGACGGUUUUGCUGUCACUUAUAGAUGGAUCCGCGCCACAUUAGCUGGUUGGUAAGGUAACGGCUUACCGAGGCAACGAUGCGUAGCCGACCUGAGAGGAGGAUCCGCCAACCCUGAAAUGAGACACGGGCCCGAACCCCACGGGGAGCCACAGGGGGGAAAUCUUCCGAAAGGGAGCAAGCCUGAACGAGGCAACCCGCGGGGGUGAAGAAGGGUUUCGGGUUCUAAAACCUUUUUUUUGGGGAAGAAAAAAAGGAGUUUAAUACUAUGCUGGUCUGACGGGAACCAAAUAAGAAGGCCCGGGUAACUUCGUG
rnacentral:rRNA from 1 species